CACAGGGGGGUCAAGUAUUAUUCUACAUGAUUGGGCGUAAAGGAUAAGUAGGUUGUUUUUUUAUUAUUAAAUUAAAGUCUAUAUAAAAGUUAUAGGUUAUUUAAUAUAAUAAAAAACUAAGAGUUUAUAGAAGAUAUUAGAACCCACCAAAGUAACAGUGAAAUGUUCCGAGAUUGGGGGGAAUUCCAAAUGGCGAAAGCAAUUAUCUUGUUAAAACUGACACUGAAUUAUGAAGGUUUGGGUAGCAAACAGG
rnacentral:rRNA from 1 species